rnacentral:rRNA from 1 species
UGGGUUAAAAGGGUGCGUAGUGGGCCUGUUAAGUCAGGGGUGAAAGACGGUAGCUUAACUAUCGCAGUGCCCUUGAUACUGAUGGGCUUGAAUACACUAGAGGUAGGCGGAAUGUGACAAGUAGCGGUGAAAUGCAUAGAUAUGUCACAGAACACCAAUUGCGAAGGCAGCUUACUAUGGUGUUAUUGACACUGAGGCACGAAAGCGUGGGGAUCAAACAGGAUUAGAUACCCUGGUAGUCCACGCCCUAAACGAUGAAUACUCGAUGUUGGCGAUAUACGGUCAGCGUCUAAGCGAAAGCGUUAAGUAUUCCACCUGGGGAGUACGCCCGCAAGGGUGAAACUCAAAGGAAUUGACGGGGGCCCGCACAAGCGGAGGAGCAUGUGGUUUAAUUCGAUGAUACGCGAGGAACCUUACCCGGGCUUGAAAGUUAGUGAAUAAAGCAGAGACGCUUUAGUCCUUCGGGACACGAAACUAGGUGCUGCAUGGCUGUCGUCAGCUCGUGCCGUGAGGUGUUGGGUUAAGUCCCGCAACGAGCGCAACCCCUAUGUUUAGUUGCCAGCACGUUAAGGUGGGGACUCUAAACAGACUGCCUGUGCAAAUAGAGAGGAAGGAGGGGACGACGUCAAGUCAUCAUGGCCCUUACGUCCGGGGCUACACACGUGCUACAAUGGUCAGUACAGAGGGCAGCUACCUGGCAACAGGAUGCCAAUCUCACAAAGCUGAUCACAGUUCGGAUCGGGGUCUGCAACUCGACCCCGUGAAGUUGGAUUCGCUAGUAAUCGCAUAUCAGCAAUGAUGCGGUGAAUACGUUCCCGGGCCUUGUACACACCGCCCGUCAAGCCAUGGAAGCUGGAAGUGCCUGAAGUGCGUAACCGUAAGGAGCGUCCUAGGGUAAAGUCGGUAACUGGGGCUAAGUCGAACAAGGUA